rnacentral:rRNA from 1 species
GGCGCCCAAAGGUUCCCUCAGAAUGGUUGGAAAUCAUUCGCAGAGUGUAAAGGUAUAAGGGAGCUUGACUGCGAGAGCUACAACUCGAGCAGGGACGAAAGUCGGGCUUAGUGAUCCGGUGGUUCCACNNNNNNNNNCUCGGUGAAAUUUUAGUACCUGUGAAGAUGCAGGUUACCCGCGACAGGACGGAAAGACCCCAUGGAGCUUUACUGCAGUUUGAUAUUGAGUAUCUGUACCACAUGUACAGGAUAGGUAGGAGCCUAAGAAGCCGGGACGCUAGUUUCGGUGGAGGCGUUGUUGGGAUACUACCCUUGUGUUAUGGCUACUCUAACCCAGAUAGGUG